UACGAAGGGUGCUAGCGUUGCUCGGAAUCACUGGGCGUAAAGCGCACGUAGGCGGGUCCUUAAGUCAGGGGUGAAAUCCCGGAGCUCAACUCCGGAACUGCCUUUGAUACUGGGGAUCUUGAGUCCGGAAGAGGUGAGUGGAACUCCGAGUGUAGAGGUGAAAUUCGUAGAUAUUCGGAAGAACACCAGUGGCGAAGGCGGCUCACUGGUCCGGUACUGACGCUGAGGUGCGAAAGCGUGGGGAGCAAACAGG
rnacentral:rRNA from 1 species